UCUUAAGUAAACAUCGCCAGUAGCCUGGAAAUGCUGCUCAUGUGCCUGUGGUGGUGCUAGCCAAGGGGGUAGACUCCUCUUCCUGUGGAAAGGGGAAGGAAGAGUGGGAAGGACUUUGUCUUGUGGUUUGGGUGCCAGCUCAGCUGUGGUAGAAUAGAACACCAGGACGAUUUCUAAAGUUUCUGACUCCAGUUCCUGACUGCUGGACAUCAUCUCUGGACCAGCCUGGGGCCGGGGGAACUUACCACCAUAAAGGGAAGGACACAGCCUGCUUGGCUUUGCCACCUGCUGGGGCCGUCUCCCAGGGAGGAAGAGCCAGAGGAGACAGAAGGAAUAGCCAGAGAGUUGGGAGAAAAACCAGGAGUAUGUGGCAUCACGGAAGUCAAGGUAUUUUUUUAAAGGUCUAGCAAAAAUGAGGCAAUAGCAUACAGAGUAAAACCACUGGACUUGAGAGCAUGGAGGUAAUGGUGCCUUGACAUGAGCAGUUAGAGGAGUGGGGACAGAAACCCAGCUGGAAUGAGUGAAGCAGAGAACUGAAGUGAGGGAGUGAAGAUAGCUCUUAUAGACAACCCUUAAAGGUUUGCUCUCAAGGGGUACAGGGAAAAGGAGCAGAAGCCACAAGGAUAAAAUGGGAUUGUGUAAGGUUUGUUUUUUAUUUUGUUCUUUAAACAGGAGCUCUCAGAGCACAUUCUUUGCUCUAGUUUGUAUCCCUUAGACCAGGGAUCCUCAACCUCCCUCGGGGACCGCACAGUAGGAGGUGAGCAGCGGGUAAGUGAGCAAAGCUUUCACGUACUUAUGGCCGCUCUCCAUCACUCACGGGACCACCCAAGCUCCACCAUCAGAUCAGCAGCAGCAUUAGAGUCUCAUAGGAGCAAGAACCCUGUUGUGAACUGCAGGUGCGAGGGAUCUAGGUUGCCAGCUCCUUGUGAAACUCGAAUGCCUGAUGAUCUGCAACUGUCUCCCAUCCCUCCCAGAUGGGACCAACUCCUUGCAGGAAAACAAGCUCAGGGUCCCACUGAUUCUACGUUACGGGACAUGGAUGAAGCUGGAAACCAUCAUCCUCAGAAAACUGACACAGGAACAGAAAACCAAACACCACAUGUUCUCACUCAUAAGUGGGAAUUGAAUGAUGAGAGCUGAUGGACACAGGAAAGGGAACAUCACACACCGGGGCCUGUUGGGGGUGGGGGCUAAAGGGAGGGAUAGCAUUGGGACAAAUAACUAAUGCAUUAAGGGGGUUAAAACCUAGAUGAUGGGUUGAUAUGUGGCUCAGCGAACCACCAUGGCACGUGUAUCCCUAUGCAACAAACCUGCACAUUCAGCACAUGUAUCCCAGAACUUACAGUAAAAUUUAAAAAAUAAAAGAAGCAAAUUUAAUUUUAAAAAUUUAUUUUGAAAUUUGACAAUAUCUCAGCUUGCUAAAUGAACUCUGCUUCCAUGCUUUCCCCACACUCUCCAAAAUCUAAGAUGAUUAAUUAGAAAAGAAUAAGACCUAAGGUAAAGAAACAGAAAAACAAUUAGACUACCUACUUAGUAAGUGGGUAGUCCUGAAUUUCAAAAAUCUGUUAAUUCUGUUCUCCCCAGGGACCCAACUGUUCCUCACAGAACCCUUUUCUCAAGUAACAGCCUUUGGAAAAUGCCCAUCUAAUGCUUUUGGGUAGAAGAGCACAAAGAUCUUUGUAAAGGCGACUUUUGCACUACAUCUCUGGGGUAGACCAGUUGCUUAAAAUGUACAUUUUCCCCCUUAAGUUUCAUAAAUGGAUAAAAUGAGCUAUCUAAUUUGUGUUGGUCUCACUAAAACUGAUAAUAAAAUCCAAUUUCUAAAUAUUAAACCAAAGAAUCGCUUUUUUUUUUUUUUUAGACGGAGUUUCGCUCUUGUUACCCAGGCUGGAGUGCAAUGGCGCAAUCUCGGCUCACCGCAACCUCCGCCCCCUGGGUUCAGGCAUUCUCCUGCCUCAGCCUCCUGUGAAUCGCUUUUAAUAACCAAAGUGGAGCUUUAGUUGAUUGCUAACUUUACACCUUUUCUGCUUCUGUCACUGCCACUUCAUGGACAUCUGACACAGAGUCCAUCUGGUGAUCAUCUUGAAAAUCCUUAAUCAUUUUAUCUUUGAAUGUUUUUCUCCUAAGGGAAGUCCAGUGGAACAAUGAAGCAUGUGCUAGGGCUCAGGGCCUCUGCCCCUGUGCAGUGCUCCCUCACCACCUCCCUGCCUCCCUGGGAUGGGUUAUCUGUCAACCCACUCCUACCCCCAGCCCAGUGAUCUCUGUCACCCCAGCCCUGGUGGGAAGCUGGACACAAACACAGCAAGGGUUGGAGUUGAGUGCACACUCACACACCACAUUUCGGGGAGGAGCUCCAGGCACUUGUGAGUCUAUACUUGCCCAGAGAAUAUCCCCGUGCCUGAGAGAAGAUGGGUUAAUAAAUAGCCAACAAAGAACCCCGUGAUACACCGGGGCCGGGGAGUGAGGGGGCUAGGGAAGGAAUAGCAAGGGGUGGGGGGAUUGGGAGGGAUAGCAUUAGGAGAAAUACCUAAUGUAGAUGAUGAGGCAAUGGAUGCAGCAAACCACCACCAUGGCACGUGUAUACUUAUGUAACCUGCAUGAUCGGCACGUGUACCCCAGAACUUAAAGUAUAAUACAUAAAUUUUUUUAAAAGAACCCCAGAUAGAUUGGGUAAGAGAGAGAGAGACAGAAGAAAGAGAAUUUUUUUUUCCCCCUGAGUUUUGGACAAGAGGUCCUGAAAUUUCAUUUUUUCCUGUGCUCCACAAAUUAUAUAUCCAGCCCUGGCCAUUUAGCGUGUACAAACAUGCUGAUGAAGAAAGAGGAGGAGGAAGAGGAGAAGAGACAGGAGGAGGAGAAGGAGAAGGAAGAGGAGGGUGAAGGUUACAAAAAAAAAAACAAGAGGAUAAAGAAGGCAAAGGCAAGGCUUAUAUUAGGAAGCUGAUACUUUCACACCACUUAUUAAGUGUCAGGCAGUGUGUCCAAGUGCUUUACAUGCUCUAGCAUAUUUAAUUCUCUCUGCAAUCCUUUGAGACAAGUUCUAUUGUUGCCCCAUUGUACAGAGGAGGAGAGAGCAAGGCCUGGAGAGGUCAGGUCAUUUGCCCAGGGUUUCCCAGGCAGUCAGUGGCAGAGCCAUGCUGUACACCCAGGGCACGUCACUCCCGAGUCUGUGUUCUCUGCGCUCUCAUUCUGCCUCUCUGCAUUAUAUAGCAGUUACAUAUUCUUGUAGCUGCAUCUCGGUUUUCACACUUUCCGAACAUGAAUCCACUUUGCUUACAUUUGUCUUUCCACUCAUAAAGCUUUUCUUAAAAAUUGUCCUCUGCUUUAGAAAGCCACAGCUAAUGGAAGUGCUGAAUAAAGUCGACUCUGUAGAGUGAAGUGAGUGUUCUAAUGUUUAAAAUGUUAUCUUUGCUUAAACAGACAGCAAGUGUCAGCAAGCCUAAUUUAUUCACCUACCAAUAAUUAUCUUAGCUGAGGAUAUGGGCUCAUACUUGGCUUGGAACCUUAACAUAGAACAAUUUUCAUCAUAUUUCCUGUAUUCCAAAACCAGAUCUUUAUGCAAGACAGGCAGUAGGAUGCAGGCAGGAUCAGGAGCUACAAUUCAGCAAAGGGGAAGGGAAGCCUGGUAAGGGGAGCUUGAAGCUACGCUCCCAUGUGGCCUGUGUUCUUACACGUGUUUCUUUCCAAGCUGCAGGCUUUCAUCCCUGUAGCCACCAACUAUCCUGGGUGGGAUCCUCUGGCGUUGAAAGGCCCCUAGAUUCCCUGUAAUGGAAUUUCCUUCUCUUUGAGAAGGGUAUUAGUUUUUCACCAUUUACACCCUUUAUAAUUUGUGCUGACUACAUAGGAUUGUGUUAUAUUGAGAUUGCAUAAAAGUGGCCUGGCAUGGUGGCUCACACCUAAAAUUCCAGCACUUUGGGAGGUCGAGGCAGGUGGAUCACUUGAGGUCAAGAGUUCAUGACCAGCCAGGCCAGCAUGGCAAAACCCCGUCUCUAUUGAAAAUAUAAAAAUUAGCCAGGUAUAGUGGCACAUGCCUGUAAUCCUAGCUACUCAGGAGGCUUAGGUAUGAGAAUCACUUGAACCCAGGAGGCAGAGGUUGCUGUGAGCCAAGAUCGCACCACUGCACUCCAGCCUGGGUGAUAGAGUGAGAGUCAGUCUCAAAAAAAAAAAAAAAAAGAUUACAUUAAAAAAAAAUGAAUGCUAUUUGUAACAAAAAGAUUUAUAAAGGGUAACGUUUUCCAUGAUAAUAAAUACAAAAAUGCCUAGCCACCUUCCCAGCCUCCUGCCACCUAGAGGUUUUCAUCAAUUAAACAAACACAUGGAACAACACUUGAAGCAGAUCAUGGAAAUAAUAAAGACACAGACUCCAGGGACGCCCACUCUACCUUGGUGCUGCCUUUGAACUUGAUGGGGAAAUGGUGGGGCAUCCCUGAGAAAAGUGAGCAGGGCUGUGAGGAUGGGUAGAGCAGAGGCGUCACCUGUAUCCACCUUCACCUUCAUCACCUCCAGAUGAACUCCGAAAGGCACCAUGUGGAUGGAGGGUUAGAAAUAGCAUUUUCACAAGUACCUGAAAGUCCAGCCUCCUCUUUAUCUUUUGUUCAGAGAAUAACAAAGAAAAUGCUUCCACUAGGAAUCUAGGGAAUCAGAAGAUGAUAUACCUUUGCUCUCUUUUACCCUGAAGCUACCUUGCCGUUUGCCAACAUUGAGGAGUAAGAAUACUCUAACUCAUAGAUAAAGGUAUUCUAUGUAAAUGACUGGCACAAGUGAAAGAUACAUAAGAUAUACAGGAAUUACUCUAUAAGAUAAACAAACCCUUUGUGCCCUUAUUAGUGAGUUUUUCAGCUGCCCUUUGACCCACUGGUCUUCUAUACAGGCCGUGUGAUAUAGCAAACCUAAUAGGAGAUGCUAUUUUCUUCCUUUCCCUUCACUGUUGUUUUUUCUUAUGGCUCCCUGUCCUUCUUGAGCUAGGGAACAGGUGUCAAGGUAUAUUAUAGGCCCUGACCUUAAAGGAACUAGAAGAGUAUUGGCAUGACCAAUACUCCACCCAGUGAAUUAGCACAUUUAACAUACAGAUAAGUGGGCUUCCUUUAGUGGAAUUGAUUGAAAUGCCAUAGAGAGAAUGUCAGUCCAGAAUGGAAAUCUGUUGAGUAGAUUUAUUUGGGAGGACUUGUCUGGCACUUUUCAUUUUUCUUCCCCCAUAAUUAUUUCCAGGUGUCAUAUUAUCAAUCUGCAAAAGCCUAAGCAAUUUGAUUCUGGUAAACCUUGAAGUUCUUCCUCUUCAAUGUAGCAGCAUAGGAUUCUGUAUUUAGGAUGACAUUCUGUGCCUCUUCUGAGAGUCCAGUAUUUCAUUACAUAUAACUAGAUGCAGGACAUUUUAGGUGCAAUCCCUGGAUCAGGAACUGGUUCUGCCUCUCAGUCUCUUCCAGCCUGAACAUGCCUCCUAGGUCAAGCCAUGCAGUCCAGCUCCCGUCUCAGGCAACUCCGAGAGAGAGGCGUUGUAGCAGAGAAGGGAAGCUGUAUAGUGAUGUUGGAAAUAGGUGUAUUGUUAGUCAUACUUCUUCUGAAA
ensembl:lncRNA